GGUUAAGCGACUAAGCGUACACGGUGGAUGCCCUGGCAGUCAGAGGCGAUGAAGGACGUGCUAAUCUGCGAAAAGCGUCGGUAAGGUGAUAUGAACCGUUAUAACCGGCGAUGUCCGAAUGGGGAAACCCAGUGCAAUUCGUUGCACUAUCGUUAACUGAAUACAUAGGUUAACGAGGCGAACCGGGGGAACUGAAACAUCUAAGUACCCCGAGGAAAAGAAAUCAACCGAGAUUCCCCCAGUAGCGGCGAGCGAACGGGGAGCAGCCCAGAGUCUGAAUCAGCUUGUGUGUUAGUGGAACGGUCUGGAAAGUCCGACGGUACAGGGUGAUAGUCCCGUACACCAAAAUGCACAGGUUGUGAACUCGAAGAGUAGGGCGGGACACGUGGUAUCCUGUCUGAAUAUGGGGGGACCAUCCUCCAAGGCUAAAUACUCCUGACUGACCGAUAGUGAACCAGUACCGUGAGGGAAAGGCGAAAAGAACCCCGGCGAGGGGAGUGAAAAAGAACCUGAAACCGUGUACGUACAAGCAGUGGGAGCACCUUCGGGUGUGACUGCGUACCUUUUGUAUAAUGGGUCAGCGACUUAUAUUCUGUAGCAAGGUUAACCGUAUAGGGGAGCCGCAGGGAAACCGAGUCUUAACUGGGCGUUAAGUUGCAGGGUAUAGACCCGAAACCCGGUGAUCUAGCCAUGGGCAGGUUGAAGGUUGGGUAACACUAACUGGAGGACCGAACCGACUAAUGUUGAAAAAUUAGCGGAUGACUUGUGGCUGGGGGUGAAAGGCCAAUCAAACCGGGAGAUAGCUGGUUCUCCCCGAAAGCUAUUUAGGUAGCGCCUCGUGAAUUCAUCUUCGGGGGUAGAGCACUGUUUCGGCUAGGGGGUCAUCCCGACUUACCAACCCGAUGCAAACUACGAAUACCGAAGAAUGUUAUCACGGGAGACACACGGCGGGUGCUAACGUCCGUCGUGAA
rnacentral:rRNA from 1 species